rnacentral:siRNA from 1 species
UGGUUUUCACGUUUUGUCUUUUC